rnacentral:lncRNA from 1 species
UUUAUAUGGAUUUCUAUGGGUUAUAUGGGAUAUAUGGGCGUUUUAUAUGCGAUUAUGGGCGUUUUAUAUGGGAUUAUGGGGUUUUAUAUGGGAUUAUGGGGUUUUAUAUGGGAUUCUAUGGGGUUCUAUGGCAUUAUGUGGGGUUAGAAGUGGGUUUAUGUGGGGUUCUAUGGGGCUGCUGUCCUAUCAGAUGAGAGAGGGGCAGGUACGGCCCUAUAACUUAUGGGGUUAUAUGGGAUUAUGGGGUUUUAUAUGGGAUUAUGGGGUUUUAUAUGGGAUUAUAUGGGGUUAUAUGGGGUUAUAUGGCAUUAUGUGGGGUUAGAAGUGGGUUUAUGUGGGGUUCUAUGGGGCUGCUGAGCUAUCAGAUGAGAGAGGGCAGGUUACGGCCCUAUAACUUAUGGGGUUAUAUAUGGGAUGUAUGGGUUUUAUAUGGGAUUAUGGGUUGUAUAAUUGGGAUUAUGGGGUUAUUAUGGGAAUUCUAUGGGGUUCUAUGGCAUCUAAUGUGGGGUUGGUGAAGAAGUGGCGUUUAUGUGGAGGUUCUAUGGGGCUGCUGAGCUAUCAGAUGAGAGAGGGGCAGGUACGGCCCUAUAACUUAUGGGGUUAUAUGGGAUUAUGGGGUUUUAUAUGGGAUUAUGGGGUUUUAUAUGGGAUUAUGGGGUUUUAUUAUUGGAUUAUAUGGACCGGUUUUAUUUAUGCGGAUUAUGGGUUUUAUAUGUAUUAUGGGUUAUAUGGGAUUAUGGGGUUUUAUAUGGGAUUAUGAGGGUUAUAUGGGAUCUAUGGGGUUUUAUAUGGGAUUAUAUGGGAUUUUAUAUGGGAUUAUAUGGGGUUAUAUGGGAUUAUGGGGUUUUAUAUGGGAUUAUGGGGUUUUAUAUGGGAUUAUGGGGUUUUAUAUGGGAUUAUGGGGUUUUAUAUGGGAUUAUGGGGUUUUAUAUGGGAUUAUAUGGGGUUAUAUGGGAUUAUGGGGUUUUAUAUGGGAUUAUAUGGGGUUUUAUAUGGGAUUAUGGGGUUUUAUAUGGGAUUAUGGGGGGUUUAUUAUGGUUGAUUCUAUGGCUUAUAUGGGAUUCUAUGGGCGCUAGACAUUAUAUGGCAGUUUGUGGGGUUAGAAGUGGGUUUAUGUGGGGUUCUAUGGGGCUGCUGUCCUAUCAGAUGAGAGAGGGGCAGGUACGGCCCUAUAACUUAUGGGGUUAUAUGGGAUUAUGGGGUUUUAUAAUGGUGAUUUACUGGUUUUAUAUGGGAUUUCUAUGGGGUU